ACCGCCGACCUUCUGAUCAGCAAGCCCUAGACUCUGUGGUUUAACCCGCAACACCACCUGGGUUCCUAUUCCAACCUUAGUUUGCCCCAAAGCUGGGAAGACUUGAUACAGGACUAUGAAGGAGCCCGUUCAAAACGAACAGUUAACAGUUAACAAUGUGGGAAAGAGAGGAGGGUGUUUGUAUAGAACCUAGCCUAGUGUACUUACUGUAGGUAAAAUAUACCGUACAUUCCUCGCUCUGCCCACACCCACCACAGGCCUUUUGUCCCUGAAAGCUUGCCCAGAAGGAAAUGAAGCUAUCACACUGAAAAAGUGUCCAUACUCUGCUCUAGAAUAAAGUGAGGAUUUCUAGUUCUCUGGUGUAGCAGAAUCGAGUUCUCCUUACAGUAGUUUACUGCACUGCUUCAUGUUGUAGGAUUUGUCUGGACUAUGGGAAUCUAUGCCAGUCACUUCCAAAAGAAUGAUGGUCAGAUCCUUACGGCAAUUACAGAUCCAUCUCAAGCCAACUGGAUUGCGAUCCAUGCCGAGACCUGCAAAAUGCCAGUGCCAGAGGUUCAAAGAUGCUGGAGCAGGUUCCUUAUGUUGCAUCCAGACCAGAAGGGGAACUUGCCUCAAAUGCGCCUCCUGCAAGCCAACAGUCCUUUUGGCCAGAAGUUGUUAAAGCAAAUUCCGGUCACAGAUGAUGACCAGUUAACAUUCCAGACUUACUGUAAUGCUGUGUCCUGGCUAUCUAAAAGCAGCUUGGAGACCAAAGUAAAAGACCAAAGUCCCAUUAAAUCCAUGAUUGGAGCCACUACCACAGAGGAGGGAGGAGAUGCAGAGAAUGGCUAUGGGCUAGACCCAGGGCCAGCCCACCCAUGAGGCAAGGACUAUACCAAACAUUAUUCUCUGGCAUUAUUGGCAAGGAACAAAUCAGGGAUUUGCUGCAUGACUUAUAUCCUAUGCAAAGUUGCAGUGCCGUUGAUGAACUUUCUGCUAAUUUCCUCAAGGAAGUGGAUAAAGACAAUCAAGGGUAUAUCUCUGAAGAUAUGUUUGUUGCCUGGGUUCUAUCCUUUUCAGAAGAAAUAGUCAAAUCUACGCUAGAUUUCCCAAUCAUACCUCCAAAUCUGACACAAAUUGAGCAUCCUACUUCUUAUCUGAGUAUCACUGCAGAUAUUCAGGAUAAAGAAGGACUGAAUGACCUGCAACUUGUUAAGGUGGCCACAGAGAUAGCCACAAGAAAAAGAAACUGGGGGCUUCUUGCUAGUAAGCUUGGCAUUAUAGAGAAGGACAACUUCCGUUUGGGGAAUGAGCAUGGGAAAACAAAGGACCAAAUCCUGAAAAUGUUACUGAGCUGGCACAGAGCAUGUCAAGGAGCUCCUCUUCCUAUACUUCAAGCAGCCCUGCGAGAUAGUGGCAAUGUAGACAUUUGUAACGAAGUGUUCCACUUGAGCUUUUAAUAUAUAUAUAUAUAUAUAUGCGUGCGUUAGGAGAGGAUAGGUGUUUUAAGACGGGAUGGGUAAGCUUUCCCAGCCUAAUGGUGAUGUUCUCUUUUGUGCAAUGCUAUUGCUAUAUAUUUGUGUAAACCCCUCCUUUCCCCCUGAUAUGGACUCAAGACAGCUUACCAUAGUGCAGUGAUUUUCAACCAGUGUGCCAUGGCACCCUGGGGUGUCUUGAAUGGUGGUCAGGGGUGCCGCAGACAACACUGGCUUCUGUCUCUUUCUUUCUUUCUUUCUUUCUUUCUUUCUUUCUUUCUUUCUUUCUUUCUUUCUUUCUUUCUUCCCCUCCUUCCUUCCUUCCUUCCUUCCCUCCCUCCCUCCCUCCUCUGAUGCCCUCUCGUGUCUCUACCUCCCAAAGAGCUGCACAGCUGUUUGUUGCAGCAGCCCUGACUACAAGCUCUGCAGGCAAAUGGUGCCUCUGGGGCUGGCCAGGGGUGCUGGUUGCCAGGAGCUGAGGAGUAGGCAAGCAAGCAGCCGAUGGAGCCCAGCCAGCCAGUCCACCAGCCCUUGUGGUUUGGACAGACAAAUCCUAGGCCCUUGUGGGGCAGUGUGAGGAGGCUCCUCCGUUUGGGGCAGGGAGGGCAGCUCAGAGACUGGGGUGGCAGCAGCACAACUCCCAAGGAGAGGGGAGAGGAGAGGAGGUCGAGGGUGUUUGAAAAAGGGUGAGAGGCUGCCAGCUCUGCAAGCAAGGGGGAACGUAACUGGGCUCCUGAGCCCCACAGGGGUGCCGCAGAAAGAAUGCAGUUGGUCAAGGGAGCCGUGGACUCAAAAAGGUUGAAAAGCUCUGCCAUAGUGGGGGGGGGGGGCACACAAAAGGCAAAAGUAGGUGGAGCAAUGAAUGUGAUUCAUACUUUUGUAGAGUUCCAUUCUAGAAAGGCAAAAGUCGGAGUUGUCUACACACACCUCUUUCCAUCCACAAUUUCACCAUUUGGCCAUCUAGCACUGAGUCAGGCCAUUUGGACAUCCAACCCAGUGUCGUUCAUACUGGAAAUGUCAGGAAUUGACCUCCUGCAUGCAAAGCAGAUGCUCUGCCCCUUAGCUCCUGCUUCUUCCCAAGGGUUGCAUCCAGCCCACAGGCCUUGCUUGAGCUAGAGGUGGCUGGAACCUAGGCAUUUAAUGUGUUGCAAAAGGGAGAACGGCACUGGCAACUUUCAUAGUUGUGUAGUAGAUGGAAUUUGAGCAGGUGCAGCUUUUCAUGCAAGCUACACCUGCUGAAAUCAUCUCUUUCACUAAACAAUUAAAGCUAUAGAAGCCUGACCCUCUUUUUCACCUCAUCAACCUACAUCUUCAUUACCCUGGAGUGUGUGUGUGUCCAAGUACUGCAAAUGGCCCCCUGCCACACAAAGGAUUGCAGAAAGUUAAUGCACGUUGCCAUUCAAAUGGUGUCAGUGCACCGCCUCAUGUGAUCGAUUAUGCAGGGCGGGGCUUACCUCCCCCUCCCCAAUAUUUGAUUCAAGUUGGCACCCCUGGACAUAAGUCUCAUUAAACCCAUUGAGACAUGCAUAGAAGCAGGCAGCAGCCACCCAGUUUUCAGACACAAAACCCACCUUUAGUCCAAACAUCCAUUUGGGGACAUGUGUCAGGAGCCCAGACUGCCAUCUUGAUAAAACAGCGCACAAGUCAUAAUUAGCUUGAAGAUUUAUUGCAAUGCAAAGAGUUAGCCUCAGACGUCUAACCAAACGUCCGCGGCUUAUGAAUCAGUUGACCCUUCUGAAGACCGCCUCCUGGUUCUGCAGAAUAUCCUGAACCUAUGACCCUUAUGUUUCUGGGUUUGCUUGAUUAAUUGCCUCCUCUUCCAGUGAGGAAAUGCUAUUCCUCCUGCUUUGCAAGUCUGCCUGUGCUUCUUGAGCAAGCUGACUUCUCACCCUCCCACUCUCUGCUAACUCCUGAUCAACAUUCAUUUCUGUGUCUCAGAGAGAGGGGGAGGAGGGCUGCUCCCAGCUGUCUGACUUCUUACUAACACAUGCUGUGUUUCUCUACUUCGGGCAGAUGUGUUCGUGACAACAUGUAUCAAAAGGACAAUGCCUUAAUGCAAGACAUCCAAGGCAGAAUAGGCUAGACCUGUCCACCUUUAGGUUUAAUUAAGUCCCUUGAAAUCAGCUCUGUGUGUGGAUUGUUGUUACUGUGUGCAAGACUGCAGCCCAUCCUGUUUGUGUACACAAAGCACACACUUGGUAUGUCCAAUAUCCCAGGUUCAGUCCCCAACAUCUGCAGAUACAGCUGAGAAAUAUACCUGCCCAGGACUCUGGAGAGCUGCUACCAGUCACUGUAGCAGACAAUAGCAAAGUAGAUGGGCCAGCUCCCUGCCUAUGUAUUUCCUGUGUUCCUGUGUAGUGUCCCGUCUGCUUAAAUAACAUUUUAAUUGCCUUCUGAAGGACAGAGAGGACCAUUCUCCCCAUGUAACCUGACAUCCUGGUACUUCUAUUGUUGGAUUAAAUCAGCGCCUCUUACAUUUAAUUGGCUUUAAGGUAGUACUAAACCACUUUGCUGUCUCUGGGACUAUAUUACAUCAUAUCACUGGUGAAGCGACGGAGACUGCUGUUUUCCUUGGAAGCUGGUUAAUUAUGCUAUUUUAAGAGCACCAUUAAACCCUGCCAGUUUUGAAUUCUGAACUUCUUUAAACUUGUGACAGUUUAAUUGGCAUCUUCUGCGAUGAGAGACGGAGCAAAAUGGAACCAGGAAAAUGCACCACACAGACAUGAAAGGGGGGGGAAAGUGUCCAUAAUAAAUGCAUUUUAAUGUCAAGUAAAUGUUCAGAAAAGAAGGGGAAGAUUACAUUUGUUUCAAACAAGUAAUUUGUUCCCCAGUAAGGAAAAGCCAUGCCGAUGUUUCCAUGAUGUUGAUGGUGUUGCUGUUUUGAAAAGCAUUGUGCAAAGUGAAAUCAGCAGGGAAGAAAAAGGCUUAGAGCAUAUACAUAAGGCCCUAUUCAGAGAGCCAGCAGGAUCGCACAUACUCAAUACGGGCAUACUGUGACAUCUCAGACCAGUCCCACACUACUAACAUGUUGAGGGAAGGUCUGAAGGAGAGAAGCCUGGCAAAAGUACACACAGUCAUAUCUCGGGUUACGAACGCUGAGGGUUGCACAUUUUCAGAUUGCGAACCUCGCCGAACCUGGAAGUACCGGAAUGGGUUACUUCUAGUUUUUGGCGCUCGCGCAUGUGCAGAAACACAAAAUGAUGUUACACGCAUGCGCAGAAGCCCCGAAUUGCAUCACGCGUGUGUGCAGAUGCGGCGCUUCAGGCUGCGAAUGCUGUGGGUUGCGAACGUGUCUCCCGCACAGAUCACGUUCGCAAACCGAGGUAUGACCGUAGUCCAUCUCUCUCUCUCUCUCUCUCUCUCUCUCUCUCUCUCUCUCUCUCUCUCUCUCUCUCUCCAUUUGAAUUCUGCAUGCUUCCAAGAGAAUAUUUAGAGAAAUACAGGUAAUUCCCCUCCCCCACCUAUCCCUAUCCCUAUGGCUGUAAUUUGUUUUAAUUUGUUUUUAAUAUUGAAUUUUUAAAUUCAAUUGGGACCUGAUGGUGAAGGCAGAUACUAAAUCGAAAUAUAUUAAUAAGAAUUUCACCAUCCCCUGCAAACAGGUUAGAGUAAGGUUACCAGGCCUCCCUGUUUCCCGGGGACAGUCCUUGGAUUUACAGAUCAGUCCCCUCACAAAAUCCAUCCCUGGAAUAAGGAAGUUGAAAAGUGUCCCUGGAUUUAUUG